rnacentral:rRNA from 1 species
GAUGAACGCUGGCGGCGUGCCUAAUACAUGCAAGUCGAGCGAACGGACGAGAAGCUUGCUUCUCUGAUGUUAGCGGCGGACGGGUGAGUAACACGUGGAUAACCUACCUAUAAGACUGGGAUAACUUCGGGAAACCGGAGCUAAUACCGGAUAAUAUUUUGAACCGCAUGGUUCAAAAGUGAAAGACGGUCUUGCUGUCACUUAUAGAUGGAUCCGCGCUGCAUUAGCUAGUUGGUAAGGUAACGGCUUACCAAGGCAACGAUGCAUAGCCGACCUGAGAGGGUGAUCGGCCACACUGGAACUGAGACACGGUCCAGACUCCUACGGGAGGCAGCAGUAGGGAAUCUUCCGCAAUGGGCGAAAGCCUGACGGAGCAACGCCGCGUGAGUGAUGAAGGUCUUCGGAUCGUAAAACUCUGUUAUUAGGGAAGAACAUAUGUGUGUGUAGCUGUGCACAUCUUGACGGUACCUAAUGAAGAAGCCACGGCUAACUACGUG